rnacentral:tRNA from 1 species
GAAACAGGUUUGCCAGCAACAAGGACUGCUAAUCUUUGUCCCCUCGGUUGGACUCCGAGGCUGAUUCGCCAA